rnacentral:misc_RNA from 1 species
UUUCCGUAGGUGAACCUGCGGAAGGAUCAUUAACGAAUCGUUUGAGAGGGGGAGGGGGCGGACUGUCGCUGGCCUUUUCGGGGCAUGUGCACGUCUGCUCCUUUUCCCGAUCACAUCGUUCUUCACACACCUGUGCACCUGUUGUAGGCCGUAAAAAAGCCUAUGUUUUUCCACACACCUUUUUAAACGUAUGUCAAAGAACGUCUCCAUUAAAUUACCGAGUGGCUUCGCUAUUGUUGAAGUCGGUCGGUAAGGAAAACUUUAUAUAACUUUCAGCAACGGAUCUCUUGGCUCUC